GCAUAUGUGAAGGUGUGGCCUCAUGAAACCACAGCACACUGUUAGGAGCUACCAGCCUGUCACAAGUGGGUGUGAAGGUUGCCUAGAGGAGACUACCAGGAGAUAACACUGAAGGGGUGGAUUAGGAAAGCCCUUGUGCACCAUCUUGAACUUUACCUUGAAUGCAAUGGAGAGCUGUGAAAGGGCUUUAAGCAAGGCCCAGGCCUCACUGAAUCUGUGGUUUAGAAAGAACUCUCUGGUUACAAGAUGGAGCAUGGAUGCAAGCGAGCUAAUUCUACAGUCUCCCCAGUCCAGAGAAACUCUGCUUCAACCUCUCCAGAGACUAGAAACCUCUCAACUCAUGUCAGUGUGGAUGAUGGGCAGGGCCUCAGCUGUGCAGGAUGAAGGAGAAAACGGAAGACAAAUGCUUCCUAAGCAGACUCCCAGCUGAGUUUUUAUAGCCCCACCUUUGCUGCAAUUCCUGGAACCAUCAAUUCCUGAGUAUUUGGGGUGUUCUGCAGUGUAAUAAGUUUGCUUUUCACCUCCCACUCUACCAGCUGAGAAGAAGUCUGCAUUUUUGGAUCUGCAAAGUCAGCUGAAUGUGUCCUCCUCCCUCCAGCUUCCAGGACUGUGUUGUUCUUGUCUCCUCCAUCAUUUUCUUUGUCCUUGUGGGCGUAUGCUCUGUUUAAGCCCCAUUGCUGU
rnacentral:lncRNA from 10 species